rnacentral:lncRNA from 1 species
UCGGAUACAAAAUCCACCGGCCGGGUUUACACAUGAAAACUUAUAAGCUUUCAUAAAGGUUUAUCAUCAAUCUCUAAACCGAGACAUGGAUUCCAUCAACUAACUAUUACUUCACCAAUAUACAUUAUUAUUAUCCAAUUUACCAAGCAUAUUGACCCACGUAAGAAUUUCGCCUUUUAAUAAAUCAAAACAAUAAUACUAUACACAGCUAAUAAUAAUUAUAUC